rnacentral:rRNA from 1 species
UACAGGGGGGGCAAGCGUUGUUCGGAAUUACCGGGCGUAAAGGGCCAGUAGGCGGCCAACUAAGUCACACGUGAAAUCCCCGGGCUUAACCCGGGAACUGCGUGUGAUACUGGAUGGCUUGAAUUCGGGAGAGGGAUGCGGAAUUCCAGGUGUAGCGGUGAAAUGCGUAGAUAUCUGGAGGAAUACCGGUGGCGAAGGCGGCAUCCUGGACCGACAUUGACGCUGAACGGCGAAAGCUAGGGGAGCAAACGGG